GGCUCAAUGGUCUAGUAGUAUGAUUCCUGCUUCGGGUUGUCCCCGCUUGCGAAGUGAGCAUGCAGGAGGUCGCGGGUUCAAUUCCCGCUUGAGCCC